rfam:Lachnoclostridium sp. YL32, complete genome.
GGGCAGGUAGCCUAGCGGCGAAGGCAGCUGACUGUAAAUCAGCCACGCAGGAAACAUCAAUGGUCCGAGUCCAUCUCUGCCCA